GACGAACGCUGGCGGCGUGCUUAACACAUGCAAGUCGAACGGAAAGGCCCUGCUUUUGUGGGGUGCUCGAGUGGCGAACGGGUGAGUAACACGUGAGUAACCUGCCCUUGACUUUGGGAUAACUUCAGGAAACUGGGGCUAAUACCGGAUAGGAGCUCCUGCGGCAUGGUGGGGGUUGGAAAGUUUCGGCGGUUGGGGAUGGACUCGCGGCUUAUCAGCUUGUUGGUGGGGUAGUGGCUUACCAAGGCUUUGACGGGUAGCCGGCCUGAGAGGGUGACCGGCCACAUUGGGACUAAGAUACGGCCCAGACUCCUACGGGAGGCAGCAGUGGGGAAUAUUGCACAAUGGGCGGAAGCCUGAUGCAGCAACGCCGCGUGCGGGAUGACGGCCUUCGGGUUGUAAACCGCUUUCGCCUGUGACGAAGCGUGAGUGACGGUAAUGGGUAAAGAAGCACCGGCUAACUACGUG
rnacentral:rRNA from 1 species